rfam:Gasterosteus aculeatus cont1.000384, whole genome shotgun sequence.
AGGUUACCUGCUUCAACAGUGCUUGAACGGCAACCU